UUAAUUCCAGACUCCACUUAGCUACGGAGCUCAGGAGCAAGAAACCUGCUUCAUGCGACUGAAGCUUCUCUCUGACCCAGGGGUAUUGCUCCGGCGUUUUAGUCUCUUCCCCUUGUGCUUGUAGAGGGAACACAAAAACAUUUCAGAAUCCUGCCAACUCAGCUAAACACAGGGUUGGGAAUUUCCUUUGGGCUACGAGUGAGAGGCCUGAAACAGAUUCCUUCCUGCGAUGGCGACUCAGCCAAUAUAUCAGUAUAGAAAAUUAGUUACGAAGAAUAAUAGUCAUGAAGGAUCCUGCCCCAAAGAAGAUGAUGUAGACACCUUGCCAUCACCUCGCUUUCUCCAAUGCCUAGUGAUAUGCUUUAUUAUUUAUAUGUACAAGAAGGAACGUCACAAAAAUGAGAAAAUGAUAGAAAAUGAAACAAUGAAGACAAAAUAUAAGCAAGCGCAAGGUACGUCUUUUAUCUUCACAUAAAUAC
rnacentral:lncRNA from 1 species